rnacentral:rRNA from 1 species
GCAGUCUGCAACUCGACUGCAUGAAGCUGGAAUCGCUAGUAAUCGCGGAUCAGAAUGCCGCGGUGAAUACGUUCCCGGGUCUUGUACACACCGCCCGUCACACCAUGGGAGUCGGAUAUGCCCGAAGUCAGUGACCCAACCGCAAGGAGGGAGCUGCCGAAGGUGGAGCCGAUGACUGGGGUGAAGUCGUAACAAGGUAUC